ensembl:lncRNA
UGUGGAGGGCAAUGGGGCCGAACCGCUGAAGGGUUGACGGGUUUGGGUCCGAUAGCUUGACGUGCAUCACUGACCCCAGCCUGCUCUCAGCUUCGCACGCCUCUAAUCGUGGCAUCCAGGCGCCCCCCUCCCAGAGGGUCAGAGCCCCGAUAGGAGCAUCUACAUCUGCUAUUUAGUGUUUGUGGCGAGGAUAGUGAGUGGAAAGGGGCCGUUUCCACAGGUGCAUGGAGCUGCAGGUCCGGUUCUGCCGCUUUGAAGCCGCCAGAUCGGGAAGUCGACAAAUAAACCCAUCGAGAGGAGAAGGUCCGAUGAAGGGGAGGCAGCGGAAGGUGCAGGUGAGCGUUUUUUACGUCCGCCACAUUGAGUCUCGCGCCUCAAUUAUUCCAACCAACGUUUGUAGUAACAUUCCGGGAGCGCGGCUGCAGGCCUGCCUUGUGUCAUUAGUCACUAACGUGUUUGUGUUCUGGACGGUAGCUCUGCUACUUAGACCCCCGCGCUGCAAUACCUCCUAAUUGUGGUUAACUUGAGACAGGAAACAGAUGCAGCCAAUUAGUCUCCCGUUGGGGGUUUUAGGUUGAGGAGGAUCUGGGGCGUCUUUUAUCAAAAUCCCAUCGCUAGUUUUUGAGAUUGAAUUCUUCUUCCAGUACGUCCGUGUUUAUAAUGCUUCUACUCCUCGGCGACUGGCACCGGGACGCGACGGGCGGGACACAGGAAGUCCCGUUUCGAAUAUUAGGACAGAAAUAAAUCCAUCCCCAAUGAGCAGAGCCAGGAAGUGCUGCACAAUGACACCACACAUGAGCCCUUCUGAAUCCUAUCUUCUCUUGAAGAGGUUUGAGUAUGUCCGCCUGCGACCAACGUCCCCAGAUCUCGAGAGCUAAGGCCUCUGAUUGCAACCUCAGGCUGAGAUUUUCUUCACUUUACAAUCCCACCCCCCCCCCCUCCCUCCCCCGUUGUUCGCUUUAAUAGCUAAUUACUCUCCACCGCUAUGUGACAAAUGACACCAGAUGCCACAUUGGAGAACAAUCGGGGGCCCUCCAAAGAUUUAUUGUCUCCAAAGAAACAGUCGGCCUUAUUUAUAGGAGCCGUUUUUUACUAGAUCUGGCCCCCGGAGGGGAGGGGAGGAGGGGUGGGGGGGCCAAACACAGUCUGCGGCACGUGUAAGCCAUUAAAGGAACCGGGAUAAUUCGGGCAGGUGUGUGUGGAGUGUGUAUUUGCGAGUCCGAGCAGAGAGGCAAUAAAUCACAACAUGGUAACUCGGAAUCAGAAUCGCUGUUUUUAAUUUGGUUAUUUUGAAAAGGCUCUAAUUCUUAUUUAAAACUCUGAUUUCCUUCCCGUGUGUGCAAGCAUUAGCCACAAACAGAUGUGGGGGUUACAGGGCUUGUGUGACGUCACACUCAAGGCAGUUUCUUUCUCUCUUUUAACAUUUCAUUUAUUACAUUUUUCCUACAAUAACACAGUCCCUGACAUACAAUCUCAUUAAAAAAGUAAAAAAAGGGAGAAAAAAAACAAUCCAUAGACAAACAUUCUUUGCAUUAGUUGCAGAAUAUCACAGGCCGUCCUGGUAUUGUUCGCGUUGCAGUACGAAUGUAUUAUUGUCAGCUGGGAAGCUCUUCUCCUCCACAUGUCUAUUAUCCUUCCUUUAGUGCACCUUAUUUCCCGGUUUACUGGCAGCGAUGCCGGAGGUCAAACCUCUUAGUGUCCUCGGUGAGAUAUAAAAGGGGGGAAACGGAAGGUGGAUUCCUCCGAGGAGCCUCGACCGUUUGAUGCCUCCCCUUCAUCUCCUGCGUCCCGCCUGGGCUCCCUGAGGUAUGCAGCCCGGGGUUCUUGGCAUCCACGGCUCCGUGCUGCAGCCCAGAUGAGUCCUUCUCGCUGACUUGCACAGGAAAUCAGUGAGGGAAAGAGGCCGUCCUGAUUUCAAAGUUUCAAGUGUUUCUCAUUUAAAGUUAAUGUGAGGAACCUUUAAGUGGUUCUGAAAAGUCAAUACUGGCGUCUCUGUAUGUUAACGAUACCAUCAGGGAGAAGGUCUACUUCUGUACAGUUCUACUCAAUGCUCCACUGGGUCGGCUUCUGGAAAAAACAGAUGACAUCAUGGAGGUUCACCAGAGACGGCCCGUGAUCCUCGUGGACAGACCCAGAUCCUCCAACAAAGACCAGUCCACCGUGGACAGACCCAGAUCCUCCAGCAGAGACCAGUCCACCGUGGACAGACCCUGAUCCUCCAACAAAGACCAGUCCACCGUGGACAGACCCAGAUCCUCCAGCAGAGACCAGUCCACCGUGGACAGACCCAGAUCCUCCACAGAGACCAGUCCACCGUGGACACACCCAGAUCCUCCAGCAGAGACCAGUCCACCGUGGACAGACCCAGAUCUGUGACCCAUUUUUUCUCAGAAGGCCUUCCUUUGUUCUUCAGAAUGUUGCCGUAGUGAAGCCCUUUGACGUCUCAGCUUUGAUUUAGCGCUGCAUAAAUAGACUUAUCUCGACGCGGCUUAAAUCAUGGAUGCUGGUUGGAGAAGAUUCCCCACCGGCACAUAUUCAGAAUUCCAGCCGCACACAAUGACGGACUGAACUUGACUUGGUUUAAGAGUACCAGGAGAAAAACGGCAUUCCGACCCGUCUCAGUCGGUCACUGAGCUUCAAAGUUAAGGAAACAAGUCCCAUUGUUAGCAUUUAGCUACAUGAGCGCAUAGCAUGUUAACUUUACGUUGCCUGUAUCUUUUCCACUGUAUCUGUGUGUUUUAACUUUAACGAUGUGUAAGUCGGCGUCUUUUUACACUGAGCUCUUUUCUGUUCUCAAUUCCUCUCACGCUCCGCAGAGAGAGACUCAUCAAUAAUCAUUUAGCUCCUUCUGUUCCGGGGGACUGAAGGUAAGUGGUGGGGUGUUUUGGGGUGUUUUGGGGUGUUUUGGGUGUUUUGUUGGUGUUGACUGACACUCCAAAGAGCUUCUCAGCCGUAGGCGUUUCCUUACAGAGAGACCGGUUGGCACCAGUCAUUGAUGAGAAGUGGAACCUCAUUGUGAUUCCUUGGUGCGAGGCCUCAUUGUGAGAGGGUUGUUGAGCGCCGUGUCGGAGGGGGGGUUUUGCGGGGUCGGGGGGCGGCUCAGAGGGCGGCGACCUUGGCACCGAUCCCGGCAACGCAGCACCGCAGAAUCGGCUCAGAAAAGGCAGCCGAGCUGCGGCUGAACCAAAGCCAGUCGGCCUCAUGAACCGGAUCCCUGCGCUGUGACGGGGCGAUGGAGGAGGAAGCAGCGGAGUCGGCAGGCAUCAGCAGGACGGAACAGGAUUCCUCUGACGCAGUGGUCCCCAACCUUUUCUACCUCACGGACCGUUUUCAUGUCAGACAAUAUUUCUGACUGGUCGAGAAGUUCCGACGGGGGGGGGGGGUGUAGUAGUCGCGCGCUCUGUUUUCGCUGGUGGGCGAAACUACCGUGUAAACGUGAAGACACACGCCCGAUGACGCGUGGGGAAUAUGUCAGAGGGACGAGCGCACAUUACGAGAAAAUCCGGUCAAUUUUCAAAAUAAAACAUUUUUCAGAAAAAAAUACAUAUAAGCUUUCCAUGGUGCGGCCCGGUACCAAACGGCCCACGGACCGGUACCGGUACCGGUCGCCCGGUGGUUGGGGACCACUGUUCUAACGCACAGCUUCUGCGGCCUGAGCAGCGCUUGUUCGGCGUCCAAGGACACACGCAGAUCAAUUACAAGUGUUGUUUGACGGGAAUCAGGAACAUUUAUUGCCAAAAUAUGUCCGACAUACAAGGAAUUUGACAUGGUUGGUGCGUAACAUCAGACAGUAAGACAAUGGACAAUGGACAAGACAGAUAAGACAUCAUACUGCAAGAAAAAGGCAAGUUCAAUUUACAAAUUUACAAUUUGACUCCAUGCCAAGGGGUCUCAAACUCCAAUCAGGUGCGGGUUAAAGUUAAAGAAAAAGAAAGUGCACCAGUGAACAGAAAGUGUACGUGUAUGUGGAGUAUGAAGGGAGUGACCGGUGGGAUGUCAGUCAUGUUUGUCCACGUGACGCGCCUCUAUAGAGACAAAGCGCAGAUCCUUGGAGCAGACGUAACCGGUCGCAUCCGAAAUGAAGGCACAGAAGAUAAACAAUGUUGGAGCGCAAUAUGUGAUCAGAAUCCUCACAAAAGGGCAAAGUCUCAUAGAAGCUAUCAAGAGAAAGGCCAGCGGGGCUCAACCGAGUGCGAAGAUAAGGUUGACCAUGACACAUUGGCACAUGCAAUGAACACAUUGAGAACCGUAAGAUUAGAACUCCGACCCACGUGGAGGAGAAACACCUGCGACUUAAAGGGAAAACAAAGGAAGAGCUUGAAAGGACACAAGCGAGGUCAACCGCACCAUCCAAGACCCUACGAGAAGAGAAUGGAGCACCAUUGAGAAGGACUUGGGUUGUGUUCUUUGUUAGAGCUCUGUCUGAUUCCAGCGUGUUCUUCACAGAUCAUCAAGACACCAUUAGCAUUAGCAUUAGCACUAGCGUUAAGAAUAUGGCUAGUUGCCAUAAAAUUGGUAAGUUAAAAUCAGUGAAGUUUAGGUAAACGUUAAAGUAUUUGGGUCCAGUAUUUGGUUACCGUGAAAUAACUGUGAAAUAACAGUGAAAUAACGGGGAAAAAAACAGUGAAAUAACAGUGAAAUAACGGGGAAAUAACGGGGGAUAAAUGGGGGCAAAUGACGGAUGUUCAUGGAUAUGGGCGAGGAAAGCCAGUUUAGUAUCGGUGAGUUUAUGACCCUUUUUAAAGCGUUCACCCUACGUGAACUUAAUAAACCCCCCCAGGGUGUGUGUGUGUGUGUGUGUGUGUGUGUGUGUAUGUGUGUGUGUGUGUGUGUGUGUGUGGGUGGGGGAGGGGGGGGUGAAACCCACACUUCAGUUUUCACAAAUGAGGGC